rnacentral:rRNA from 1 species
GACGAACCGUGCGAACGUUGUUCGGAAUCACUGGGCUUAAAGGGCGCGUAGGCGGGCUGUCAAGUCUGGGGUGAAAUCCCACGGCUCAACCGUGGAACUGCCUCGGAUACUGACGGCCUCGAGGGAGGUAGGGGCGUGCGGAACUGUGGGUGGAGCGGUGAAAUGCGUAGAUAUCGCUUGGAACGCCAAUGGUGAAAACAGCUUGCUGGGGGUGUGCUGACGCUGAGACACGAAAGCCAGGGGAGCAAACGGG